rnacentral:rRNA from 1 species
CUAGUGGAGCAGUAUUAGUUACUCUGAAUUGAUCGCCAGUGGACGCUGGACCUUACGCUGCCCGUUGAUUGGCUCGCCGUGGCUAUAAACACCAGGCUCCGGUGUCCAGGGGAAGCACUCAGCCGGCCAUCCAUCAUCCCUCCCACUGAAUACCAGCACGAUAGGUGCCAGCCAUGGCGAGGCGCCGCCACUCUUCCUCUGGUCUCCUAUGCGUCCUCUUCCUCCUGAUCACUGCUGCCAUGGCAGCGGACGGUGCAGGAGCGCGACAGCGGAAAUUGCAGCAAGUGCCAGGGCCACAGCCGCUGCCACUACCAAACCCACGCCCACAGCCGGGGCCACAGCCCGUGCCACUACCGAUUCCGAACCCGCAGCCUGACCCGAACCCACAACCUUUGCCGAACCCAGACCCAAACCCGCAGCCACAACCAUUACCGCAGCCACAGCCGGACCCAAACCCGCAGCCACAGCCAUUACCGCAGCCUCUUCCACAACCACUGCCGGACCCAAACCCACAGCCACAGCCUUUACCACCACAGCCUCUGCCACAACCACUGCCGGGCCCAAACGCGCAACCGCUGCCAUUACCGCCGCCUCUGCCACUAUCACCGCCGGGCCCAAACGCGCAACCGAUGCCAUUACCGCCGCCUCUACCACUACCACCGCCGGGUCCAAACCCACAGCCACUGCCGCAACCGGAUGCCCCGGGCUCAUAUCCACAGGUACAACCGUUGCCAGACUCAAACACGCCCGGCCGACAAAAUAACGCACUACAGGGACCACUUGGAAAUGGUGCAGCCCCAGCCUUAUAUUCAUGCGGUGCAACCUAC